rnacentral:rRNA from 1 species
UACGAGGGGUGCGAGCGUUGCUCGGAAUUAUUGGGCGUAAAGGGUUGGUAGGUGGUCUCGUUUGUCUGAGGUGAAAUCCCCGAGCUUAACUUGGGAAGUGCCUUAGAAACGGCGAGACUAGAGUUCUAGAGAGGAUAGUGGAAUUCCCGGUGUAGCGGUGAAAUGCGUAGAGAUCGGGAGGAACAUCAGAGGCGAAGGCGACUAUCUGGAUAGAUACUGACACUAAACAACGAAAGCGUGGGGAGCAAACAGG